rnacentral:rRNA from 1 species
GACGAACGCUGGCGGCGUGCUUAACACAUGCAAGUCGAACGGAAAGGCCCUGCUUUUGUGGGGUGCUCGAGUGGCGAACGGGUGAGUAACACGUGAGUAACCUGCCCUUGACUUUGGGAUAACUUCAGGAAACUGGGGCUAAUACCGGAUAGGAGCUCCUGCUGCAUGGUGGGGGUUGGAAAGUUUCGGCGGUUGGGGAUGGACUCGCGGCUUAUCAGCUUGUUGGUGGGGUAGUGGCUUACCAAGGCUUUGACGGGUAGCCGGCCUGAGAGGGUGACCGGCCACAUUGGGACUGAGAUACGGCCCAGACUCCUACGGGAGGCAGCAGUGGGGAAUAUUGCACAAUGGGCGGAAGCCUGAUGCAGCAACGCCGCGUGCGGGAUGACGGCCUUCGGGUUGUAAACCGCUUUCGCCUGUGAGGAAGCGUGAGUGACGGUAAUGGGUAAAGAAGCACCGGCUAACUACGU